UUAAUAAUUAGGUCUAUAGUUAUUACCUAUAGUUCAAUAGUUAAUUUGCUAAUGGCAAUGAGGAGAUGCCUAUCUACUAAAUUGUUUAGGAUAGUAAUUAGUUUUAGUUGUAAAUAAUAUACAGAUCAUAGGAAGUAUUUUACCCUUUUAUUAUUAUUUUUUUUUUCAAUUUCAGAAGAAGAUUGUAAAAUUUUGAUUGAUGU